UUUUUAUUGAUUGGCCGAGGUCGCUGCAAGCCGCAAGGCUCAGCGUGAAAAGGGAAUCAGGUGCGUCUUUGACAAUGCCUGUGCUGCCCCCGCAACGGUAACCGACAGUGCGAUGCGAACGCUUUAUAGCGCCGCGUUGCACAGCGUUUUUCGAGAGACCACUGGGCAUUGCCCGGGAAGGUGAAAAACUCAUGUCGGCAGCCCGGAGACCUGCCUCGGAACAAUUUCUGACU
rnacentral:ncRNA from 16 species